rnacentral:rRNA from 1 species
UGCGGUAUUUUAACUGUACUAAGGCAUUUAAUAAUUUGCCUUAUAAUUUGAGGCUAGAAUGAAUGGUUUGACGAAGGUUAAUCUGUCUCUAUUUUAUUUUUUAGAAAUUAAUUUUUAGAGUGAAAAAGCUUGUAUUUUUUAAAGGGACGAGAAGACCCUAUUGAGCUUGUAAUUUUAUUACUAUUGUUAAUAUUAUUUGAGUGGUAUAUAAAUUUUAAUUGGGGUGAUUAAGGAAUAAAAUGAUUUUUAGUAACUUCCUUAUACUUAAUAUUGUUAGAUAAAGUAACCAAUAUAUUAUUGCUUAUAUUAUAGUUACCAUAGGGAUAACAGCGUAAUUUGUUUAGAGAGUUCUUAUUGAAAAACAAGAUUGCGACCUC